rnacentral:lncRNA from 1 species
GGUCUCUGGUUAGGAGAGUGUUUUACCCCUGGUAAGGGGAACUACGUCGCCCUGAUUCUCAUACCAGAUGAGAUACGUAGGCAGGAGGUUGAGAGAAAUCUCUCCGGGCACCCUUUUCUUUGUUUUGUGUAUGUUCACCCUUUUCUUCGUUUUCGCGUGUGUUCACCCUUAUUUCCGACUGGUGUUUACCGCUUCAUGUCUUUAUUUCUG